rnacentral:rRNA from 1 species
GACGAACGCUGGCGGCGUGCUUAACACAUGCAAGUCGAACGGAAAGGCCCUGCUUUUGUGGGGUGCUCGAGUGGCGAACGGGUGAGUCACACGUGUGUAACCUGCCCUUGACUCCCGGAUAACUUCUGGAAACUGGGGCUAAUACCUGAUAUGAGCUCCUGCUGCAUGGUGGGGGGUGGAAAGUUUCAGCGGUUGUUGAUGGACUCGCGGCUUAUCAGCAUGUUGGUGGGGUAGUUGCUUACCAAGGCUUUUACGGAUAGCAGGCCUGAGAGGGUGACCGGCCACAAUGGGAAUGCGAUACGGCCCAGACUCCUACGGGAGGCAGCAGUGGUGAAUAUUGCACAAUGGGAGGGAGCCUGAUGCAGCGACGCCGCGUGCGGGAUGACGAACUUCGGGUUGUAGACCGCUUUCGCCUGUGACGAAGGGUGAGUGACGGUAAUGGGUAAAGAAGCACCGGCUAACUACGUG